rnacentral:lncRNA from 1 species
AAAUACAAGUACCAUCCAGUUGCAGGCACGGUGUUUACCCAACUUCUCCACUUCAACAGGGUGCAUCAUUACAUGACUAAUCUUGCUGGGAAAUACAAGACUUACAGGCUGCGCGCCCCUUUCAGAAGUGAGAUUUACACUGUUGACCCUGUAAAUGUUGAGUACAUACUCAAAACCAACUUUGAAAAUUAUGGCAAGGUAAUUUAUUUCUUCUUACUGUGAUGUAUUUCGUCAAUAUCAGUACCAAAUGUUUGGUCCUUGUUUUUAUGACGUGAAUUGUGUAAAAUUAUCUAGAUGAAUUCAACACCCAAUUAUGAGUAUUCACAAAACAAUUUGGUAGGGUGAUGAGAAUUUGAGUGGGGAUGGUUUUGACUGUUCACUUUUCCAUCAGGAUUAGAUUCCAAUGGCUAAAAGGGUAAAAAUUUAGCUUCCUCAAUCUUUGUGCAGGGGGACCAUAAUUACGACAAUUUAAGUGGGUUGCUAGGUGAUGGAAUUUUCACUGUUGAUGGUCACAAAUGGCGCCAACAAAGAAAGGUUUCGAGCUAUGAGUUCUCCACAAAGGUUUUGAGGGACUUCAGCAGUGUGAUCUUCAGGAAGAAUGUGGCAAAACUUGCUAAUAUAGUGUCUGAUGCUGCAAAAGCUAACCAGUCAAUGGACAUACAGGUUAGUAUUUGAUCCAAUGUCACAUCAUGAAUUGAUUUUCAAAUUACGUGACCUUCUAAGCUUAACUGGUUGUGCAGGACCUGUUUAUGAAAUCAACCUUAGAUUCGAUAUUCAAAGUUGGAUUUGGGGUUGAGCUAGACAGCAUGUGUGGAUCAAAUGAAGAAGGUGUCAAAUUUACCAGUGCUUUUGAUGAUGCAAGUGCAUUGACCCUUUGGCGAUAUGUUGACGUGUUCUGGAAAAUCAAGAGGUUUUUGAAUAUUGGAUCGGAAGCUACAUUAAAGAAAAACGUCAAAGUGGUUAAUGAUUUUGUGUAUAAACUAAUCAAUAAAAAAAUUGAGCUAAUGCGUACCUCAAAAGAAGUUUCUUCUGUGAGUAUCUCUCCUUGAAACUAUUAUUUCUGAUAGAUUGCAGAGGCAUGAAUUUUACUUGAUCUUUCAUGGAAAAUGCAGUUAAAGAAAGAUGACAUUUUAUCAAGGUUCCUGCAAGUGACCGAGAAUGAUCCAACAUACUUACGGGACAUAAUUCUCAAUUUUGUGAUUGCUGGAAAAGACACAACAGCAACUGCUCUAUCAUGGUUCAUCUACAUGUUGUGCAAGAAUCCAGCUGUGCAGAAUAAGAUUGCACAAGAAGUAAGAGAAGCAACUAAAGUGAAGGAGAUUACAGACUAUGCAGAAUUUGCAGCCAGUAUUAAUGAAGAAGCUCU